rnacentral:rRNA from 1 species
AUGAACGCUGGCGGCGUGCCUAAUACAUGCAAGUCGAGCGAACGGACGAGAAGCUUGCUUCUCUGAUGUUAGCGGCGGACGGGUGAGUAACACGUGGAUAACCUACCUAUAAGACUGGGAUAACUUCGGGAAACCGGAGCUAAUACCGGAUAAUAUUUUGAACUGCAUGGUUCAAAAGUGAAAGACGGUCUUGCUGUCACUUAUAGAUGGAUCCGCGCUGCAUUAGCUAGUUGGUAAGGUAACGGCUUACCAAGGCAACGAUGCAUAGCCGACCUGAGAGGAUGGUCAGGCAGGGGGGGACUGAGGCCAGGCCCAGACGUCUAGGGGAGGGAGCGGUGGGGAAUAUUAGACAAUUGUCGCAAGGCUGAUCCAGCAAUGCCGGGUGAGUAAUGAAGGCCUUAGGGUUGUAAAGAGAUUUUACCAGGUAUGAUAAUGACAGUACCGGGAGAAUAAGAUCGGGCUAACUCCGUG